UUACUCUUUAUUCCAAUAUUAUAAUAAUCCUUGCUCUACAAUUAUAACCUAGGACAAACCAGGCCAUACAGAGACAGGAGCUGAAGGGGCACCGUGAGAAGCGACCACAAGAUGAGCGUGAGCCCCCGUUACGCCCGGACAGGGCCACUAGAGGGCUCCUUGGUCUAGCGGUCACGUCAGUGCCUGGGGAAGGCACCCGUUACUUAGCAGAGCCGGAAAGGGAAUCUCCCUUUCCCCGGGGGCGCGUUAGAAAAGACUCUGCUCCACCAUCUCUUGUGGAAGAUCUGACAUCAGUCAACCCCCCCCCGCAGCCCUCCGGAGGCCUAACCGUCUCCCUGUGAUGCUGUGUUUCAGCGGUCACGCUCCCAGUCCGCCUUCAUGUUCCACCCAGUACGCCUGGCUCUGCCUUCUAGACAGCAGUAGCAGAAUUAGUGAAAGUACUAAAGUCUUUGAAAUGCAUAGAAGAAAUAAUGGCGUAAGCUGUCCUCUCUCUCUCUCCGCCUCGGCUGCCAAACAGGGAAGGGCCCCCUGUCCAGUGGACACGUGACUCGCGUGACCUUAUCAAUCACUGGAGAUGGCUCACACUCCUGACCCUGCCCCUUUUGCCUCGUAUCCAAUAAAUAACAGUGCAGCCAGGCAUUCGGGGCCACUACCGGUCUCCGCGUCCAGGUGGUAGUGGUCCCCUGGGCCCAGCUGUCUUUUCUUCUCUUUGUCUUGUGUCUUUAUUUCUAUGAUCGCUCGUCUCCGUACACGAGGAGAAAAACCUACAGACCCUGUAGGACCCUACAAAUACUGUUAAUAAAAUUAGGCCUAAUACCCUUGCAGCCCACCAGGGACCCCCCGAGUCUCCAAUCCCAGACGGAAAACGCCAGGCUGGGAGGGGAACAGACAGGAUGAUUAUUGAUAAGUGGAUCCUGGAUGAUCAGCAGCCAGGCUGGGAGGGGAACAGACAGAACGAUUAUUGAUAAGUGCAUCCUGGAAGAUCAGGACGCGUCCCUUCUGGAGGCUUCAGAGCCGCCUGCAGGGGCUGCUGCUCCAUGGAAGGGCAUGGACCCCGGAGCCCCCUGCUCCUCGACUCAGGGCCUCCAGCCAAGGCUUGGCUAGUGGGUAGUGAAGCCUCCCAGCAGCUCCCAGGGACCCUGCCUGCACCUCCGAUGCUGUGGCCACCUCCACCCAGCCUUCUCCCUGCCAAGUCAGAUCUGGAAGUGACCUGGGCCCAGUGGCUUCCCACUUCCUAACGGAAGCUGAGGGAGAACUACAGAGCCUGUGGGGGCUGUGAGGGCAGUCCCCUCACCCCCAGGGCCCUCCAGGGUGGGGCAGCAGCAGCGUGGGGGGUCCUGUCCUGCCCUGUGUGCAUCUCAAGACGAACCCUUGGAGGCCCAUAUGGGAAGGCACUGAGCCCCAAGCUCCACCUAGGAGGACCUGGUGCUGGGCAGCUCACGCCUGGACCACGUCUGUCCCUGUGGUCGGCCUGGUUCUGCUGCCCACAGUGGGAGGGAGCCUGGGGGCCACGCCGAUGCAGACCCUGCCUCCCCAUUUACCAAAAGAGGCUGGGCUGGGCGCAGCAGCUCACGCCUGUAAUCCCAGCACUUUGGGAGGCUGAGUGGGCGGAUCACCUGAGGUCGGGGUUGGAAACCAGCCUGGCCAACAUGGUGAAACCUCGUCUCUACUAAAAUUAGCUGGGUGUGGUGGCGCACAUCUGUAAUCCCAGCUACUCAGGAGGCCGAGACAGGAGAAUUACUUGAACCUGGGAGACGGAGGUUGCAGUGAGCUGAAAUCAUGCCACUGCACUCCAGCCUGGGUGACGGAGCGAGAUUCCAUCUCAAAAAAAUGCUGGAUGAAGAGAGUGGUUCUGCCAGUGCAGGUUCCUGGGCCCUUAGCCAUGUUUACAGAAUCAGAAUGAGCAGGUGCAGGGGGUGUGCGUGCAGGGGUGGGGUUGCUCGUGCAGGGUUGUGGGGUGUGUGCAGGGUGUGGGGUGUGUGUGUGUGCAGAGGUGGGGGUGUGUGUGCAAGGAUGAGGGUGUGUGCAGGGGUG
rnacentral:lncRNA from 10 species